AGCCAAAAUCAACACACAGCAGGAACGUCGUCGCUCGACGAGUAAUCUCAGGACAAGGAAAACACCCGUUUUGCAAGAGUUUAAGCAAUUGAGGUUGAUUGUUGUCGAAGCCGAGGAGGUGUUGGGACAGAAGACCAAAUAAGUAGGAAGGUAG